GGGUANUAUAUUGAAACCUAAAGAAUUUGGCGGUUCUUAAACUUACUAGAGGAACCUGUCCUGUAAUCGAUAGUCCACGAUUUUAUUUACCUGUUUUUGCAAUCAGCUUAUAUACCGCCGUUUAGUGAACUAAAUAAAUAGCUUCUCUGAAUUAAUUAGUUAAAGAAAUCAGGUCAAGGUGUAGUUUAUGAAUAGGUAGAGAUGGGUUACAAUAAUAUUUUAUACGGAUAUUUAACUUUAUGGUUGAAUUGAAGGUGGAUUUAGAAGUAAAUUUAAGGAUUUUUGAAGAAAGCUCUUGAGAAUGUACACAU
rnacentral:rRNA from 1 species